rnacentral:misc_RNA from 1 species
GAUGAAGAACGUAGUGAAAUGCGAUAAGUAAUGUGAAUCGCAGAAUUCAGUGAAUCAUCGAAUCUUUGAACGCACCUUGCACCCUUUGGCAUUCCGAAGGGUAUGCUCGUUUGAGUGUCAUUGUACUCUCACUCUCCCGAUACUUUUGGAUCGGGAGUGGUGGACUUGGGUGCUGCUGCUUAACUGUGGCUCGCCUUAAAUGAAGUAGUGCAACUCUCGGUUGGACAUAGUACGGCGUGAUAAGUGUCUUCGCCGGCGCCUCAUUCGAGGGUGGCCGAUCGGGAGCUCUGUGCUUCAAACUGUCUUCGGACAACAUCUGACAACUUGACCUCAAAUCGAGUAGGACUACCCGCUGAACUUAAGCAUAUCAAUAAGCGGAGGA